GACAAUGGCUGUAUUACUUACGAGCAACAAACAAACUGCUUUUCCUGAGACUUUUUUUUUUUUUUUUUUAAGCAGGCUAGUAGUGUGCAGCCUAUAUGAAAACAGGGUUCUUGACCUCUGUGCAGAAGUGUAAUGACUUCAGGACCAAAAGAAGGUUCUGUGCGCUCCACAGAAGAACCCAAACUAACGAUCCCUCAAUUCCAAACAAGCACAAGGAAUGGAAUUUUAAAGUUGUCUCUCUUUCAGCACGCUCCACAAAGAGCCUUUAGCCAGUUGUACUGAGUAAUAAACAUCUGCUGUCAGUAAUGAGGAAGGAAUUGCUCAGAGCUAGGUAGCUACAAUGCCUGUGCCUGCAACAUCUGAAGUACAGUGAACCAUGUAAUUAGAUAAACACCAAAUGCAGCUUUAUUUCCUAAUUUUAACACUGCCCUCCACCAAUGCCUGCAGUAGAUCCCGAUUCACUGCAGGAUCACCAUGGAUCUCAGAGCUUUGGUCAGAAUAUACAAAGAAUAUACAAUUUUUUAUAGUGACUCUGGAUAUUCUUGGCAUAUCUAUAAAUCCUCUUUUUCAUCUUUUAUUCCUGUCAUCAGGGAUAUCCUUUCCCAUUGAGUUGCCCUGUUAUACGGUCAGAGAAAAAGCUACAAAAAUCACAUUAAAAAAACUGGGCUGGUUCUUCUAGCAGCUGUGGUGGUGUGAGAGAACACAUUAGGAAAACAUGGCUCUGAGUUAUUCAAAGGGAAGUUUCAGCAAUACACAAACUGGCAAGAUUGUAAAUGUCAGGAAGAAGACAGUCUUCUGGGCAUUAAUGAGGCAACAAGUAGCAUGAGAACCCUUCUGAUAACGCUGGAGAUGUCUUUGAGAAAUUUAAGGACUUCUCAUAACCAUACCACCAGUUCAUCUCAGCUCAGAAUAAGCAAGGCAGCAGAUGAGCUGGCAAAACAAGAUGCUAGUUUUCCCUUGUGAGACUGAAGAGCCGUGGAGACAACAGCUACUUUGUGUGAUGUAGACCACAGGCUUCUUUGCAGAUAGCUUUGAAAGUAAAACCUCCUCUUUAUCUCCAUGGACACUGCAACAGAUACAAAGAGCACAAUAAGGCUAUUUGAUAGAGCAAAUUCUCAGCUACAGAACACUGUUUUUCAACAGUCACUGUCAUUAAUGAUGUAUUUUUACCAUGAUGAAGAGACUGCAUGCUGUGCUUGUAAAAAAACUGCAUAGCCAUUUGAAACAUGGCUUGUCUUCCACGCUGCUGUCACCACUGCUGAAACACACCACCUACUGACUCACUGUGCUCUCAUCCACUGUUUGGUCUCUGUAAAUGUUCAGCAAGAAUCAAUUAAUGUAAAUGAGUGCCAUUUUUUCUGCAUAGAAGAAUUCAGUGACAUACCUCUUUUUCAUCCUUACUUCCACGUCAGAUACCAUCUUGUCACAGUGCCCCUUUGCUGUCAUAUGGAAUAUUGAGCAGCCAUGUUGCGUGGGAACUGUUAAGUCACGGCCUGAACCACUGGUUGAGCACCUGGGGAAAGGACCUGGUCAGCCCAGGGAGCACAGGUAAAAGCAAUUCAGCUGUUUGACCAGAAGGGGUGGAGCCUGGAUGCACCUCUCUUUGAACCACCCCUUCCCCUCCCUUAAAUGGGCUAACUGCCACUGGGGAAGGAUAUCUUCCUGGAAAUCCCUCCUUGUUGGAGUUUUCCCCUAUGAACCUGAAAUCUUCUGAUACAGGUGAGCAAUCUUCUUCCCUUCCUUUAUAGCAUCUUUCUAUUGUGCCAGUCCUUCUGUCAUCACACCUUUGUUGUAACACCUUUCACAUUGUAUUGAUCUGUCCAAUUGUUACGUGUGUACUGUUGCUGUCUUCUAUUAAUAGACUUUCAAGAGUGUAUACUUAACAUGUUUGAUUUAGGACUUUACAAAACACACUAUGCACCCUAUCUUUCAGGCAGGUAUUGACUGAACAUCAAGUUGUUUUUGACCAGAAAUUCAAAUUGGGUGCUGCAGAUAAAACAGUUACUUUGAAAGCGAAUUAGCCGUAUAAAUCAUUUGGCAAGCAGCAAUUUUAAUGGGCUUGGUCACUUCUUCAAAGUGAACUGAAGGAGAACGCUAUUUUUCUGCCUCUGGGUGAAAGCUAGCAAAAGGUUAGAAAUGUGAAUGAAGAACAGUUUGAAGGAACAAGUAUUUUCCAAUUAACUCUUGGAAUUACAAAUGAAUGAUUAUAUGAAAUUCUGUUAGCUGAAAUUUCUUGACUUUUCAGGAUCCGAGGAAUAUGGGAUGGGAAGGAAAUCUUAAGGAACUUUGACUUCUCUGAAGCUUUUAUGCCUCAUGUUUUAAGGGAUUAUCACAUCAGGAACCACCUUAAAAUAGUUAUGUAAAUAUGUUAUAUUCUUAUGUAGUUAUCCCUAUUACGUUACUCCAUCUAUUAAUAUUUUUAAUCAUAAAACAGCCCUCUUUUCUGCAGAGCAGUGCAGUGAACAGAUUCUAGUUCCUACAGGUUUGUAUUUUUCAAAUAUGUAAAUGAAUUUUCAUUUUAAUUUGAGAUGAGCAGUGAGCAUAAGAUGGUAGAUGAUGCUGGUUGUUUUCAGAGAGUCAUCUUCAAAAAAAAAAAAAAAAACAUUUUCAAUAUUCUUGUUCACUUCACAAUUUCAUUAUUGUUUGUGUUUUACUGAAAAGGUGACUGUAGGUAUAAGCUCUCUGUGCCCACUUUGCACCAGGUCUUUCCAGCACCAGAAGGGCAAGUGGCAGGCAAGUAGAAAGAUGGUUACACAAGUGUAUCUCUUUGAGGAACAACGAAGGCAGCCUUUAGUCAGAGGAAUCCUGGAUCUGAAGGACUUCGCUGAAAAACCCAAUAUGAAAUAUUUUACAAAGGGAAAGAAGUUUGAAGGGAAAAUGAUGAGAAUUCUCUACUCCUUAAGUAUUUUUUUAAUGUAGAUGUCAUAAAAUCAACCGGUUUAUUCU
ensembl:lncRNA